rnacentral:pre_miRNA from 10 species
UCUAGGUCCCUGAGACCCUUUAACCUGUGAGGACAUCCAGGGUCACAGGUGAGGUUCUUGGGAGCCUGG